rnacentral:piRNA from 1 species
UCCUGAACGCCAUCAGCCGCCGCACCUCC